GCGAACGGGUGAGUAACACGUAGGAACCUGUCGUUGAGUGGGGGAUACCGCUGGGAAACCGGCGCUAAUACCGCAUGUGGUCCCGGCAACGGGAGCAAAGCCUUCGGGCGCUCGAUGAGGGGCCUGCGGCCGAUUAGCUGGUUGGUGGGGUAACGGCCUACCAAGGCGACGAUCGGUAGCUGGUCUGAGAGGAUGGUCAGCCACACCGGGACUGAGACACGGCCCAGACUCCUACGGGAGGCAGCAGUUAGGAAAUUUUUCCAAUGGGGGAAACCCUGAGAGAGUAACGCCGCGUGGAGGAUGACGGCCUUCGGGUUGUAAACUCCUUUUCUGUGGGAAGAGAAGAAGACGGUACCACAGGAAGAAGCAUCGGCUAACUACGUGCCAGCAGCCGCGGUAAUACGUAGGAUGCGAGCGUUGUCCGGAAUUACUGGGCGUAAAGAGCGCGUAGGCGGCGCUGUACGACUGCGGUGAAAGCCCCCGGCUCAACUGGGGAGGGUCCGUGGUAACGGCAGUGCUCUGAGUGCAGGAGAGGGAAGUGGAACUCCGGGAGUAGCGGUGAAAUGCGUAGAGACCCGGAGGAACACCAGUGGCGAAGGCGGCUUCCUGGCCUGCGACUGACGCUGUGGCGCGAAAGCUAGGGGAGCAAACGGGAUUAGAUACCCCGGUAGCCCUAGCCGUAAACGAUGGACACUAGGUGUACGCGGUAUCGACCCCGCGUGUGCCGGCGCUAGCGCAGUAAGUGUCCCGCCUGGGGAGUACGGCCGCAAGGCUAAAACUCAAAGGAAUUGACGGGGACCCGCAC
rnacentral:rRNA from 1 species